AUUGAACGCUGGCGGCAGGCCUAACACAUGCAAGUCGAGCGGAUGAAGGGAGCUUGCUCCUGGAUUCAGCGGCGGACGGGUGAGUAAUGCCUAGGAAUCUGCCUGGUAGUGGGGGAUAACGUCCGGAAACGGGCGCUAAUACCGCAUACGUCCUGAGGGAGAAAGUGGGGGAUCUUCGGACCUCACGCUAUCAGAUGAGCCUAGGUCGGAUUAGCUAGUUGGUGGAGUAAAGGCCUACCAAGGCGACGAUCCGCAACUGGUCUGAGAGGAUGAUCAGUCACACUGGAACUGAGACACGGUCCAGACUCCUACGGGAGGCAGCAGUGGGGAAUAUUGGACAAUGGGCGAAAGCCUGAUCCAGCCAUGCCGCGUGUGUGAAGAAGGUCUUCGGAUUGUAAAGCACUUUAAGUUGGGAGGAAGGGCAGUAAGUUAACACCUUGCUGUUUUGACGUUACCAACAGAAUAAGCACCGGCUAACUUCGUG
rnacentral:rRNA from 1 species